AUUGAACGCUGGCGGCAGGCUUAACACAUGCAAGUCGAGCGGGGUGAUGUAGCUUGCUACAUUACCUAGCGGCGGACGGGUGAGUAAUGCUUAGGAAUCUGCCUAUUAGUGGGGGACAACAUUCCGAAAGGAACGCUAAUACCGCAUACGCCCUACGGGGGAAAGCAGGGGAUCUUCGGACCUUGCGCUAAUAGAUGAGCCUAAGUCAGAUUAGCUAGUUGGUGGGGUAAAGGCCUACCAAGGCGACGAUCUGUAGCGGGUCUGAGAGGAUGAUCCGCCACACUGGGACUGAGACACGGCCCAGACUCCUACGGGAGGCAGCAGUGGGGAAUAUUGGACAAUGGGCGGAAGCCUGAUCCAGCCAUGCCGCGUGUGUGAAGAAGGCCUUUUGGUUGUAAAGCACUUUAAGCGAGGAGGAGGCUACUUGGAUUAAUACUCUAGGAUAGUGGACGUUACUCGCAGAAUAAGCACCGGCUAACUCUGUGCCAGCAGCCGCCGUAAAAC
rnacentral:rRNA from 1 species